rnacentral:rRNA from 1 species
UUUUAUGGAGAGUUUGAUCCUGGCUCAGGAUGAACGCUGGCGGCGUGCCUAAUACAUGCAAGUCGAGCGAACAGAUAAGGAGCUUGCUCCUUUGACGUUAGCGGCGGACGGGUGAGUAACACGUGGGUAACCUACCUAUAAGACUGGAAUAACUC